UCAAACCUGCAUCGUCCGUGCGGACAACUUCCACUUCCUCUAGACCCAACUGGGCCGCCACUUCGGGACGGUUUCAGGCGAACGUUACUAGAAGAGGAUUUGUGAAAUUUGGACAAAAUACGUAAUCUUAACUCUCACACGUAUAAUAUUCAAAAAACUCGACACAAUCCAUAAAGUUAAAGAAGACUUUACAUUAAACUACAGUGCUAUAACUAUAUUUCCUUUUAAUCCAAUCCAUCAAUCAUCAAUUUCUGAGCAACCCCACAAGGAAAAAGUGUUAUUGCGACUUUUCUUCAUCUGAAAAAGACUCUAUAUAUUCAUUACCUUCUAAGUUUUGUCCUCAGAAAAGCAAAGCCCAUCAAAAAUUGAAUAUCCAGGUAGCUCAAAUUCUUAUCUUUUCAUCUGUAUUUAUCCUAAAUUUCCUCAAGAUUGUAACUUUUCCGUUUUGGGUUUAAGAUUUUACAUUUGAGUGAGUUAAUUCAGGUACCUCAAAUUCAUGUCUAAUUUACACUCUUUAAUAAAAAUUCAUAGUUCAAGGUUGUAACUUUUUGGUUUUGGGUUUAUGCUUUUUAUGUUUGCGUGAGUUAAUUGGUCCAGAAUUUCUUGAUUCUGACAUUUUAAUUCCCCUUUAUUGCGAUUAAUUUUAGCUGAUUGUAAAAGAUGUUAUUUUUUUCAUCCUUUGAUCUACAAUGCUUGAAGUUUCAAGCUUGCUUACAAAUUUACGGUCUUGAUUUUGUUACAAAAUUUGGAUUGAGAUUUGGACAUUCUUUUUAUAGGUCAAUUUGUUAAUAUGAUGUUAGGUUUCAAGCUCGUUUAGCUACAAUCCUCCAAUUUUGUGUUCAAGAGCACACCAUUAUAGCUGGGAUGGACGACAAAACCCCUGAAAUCUCAGUUUUAUAGAGUUUAUUACCUUAUCUUGUUGGUGUUACUAUGUGUUGUGUCUGCUUCCUUUACUUUUAUCUUGAGCCGGGGUCUAACUGAAAAAGACUCUCUACCUUCACAAGGUAGGGAUAAAGUAUGUGAACCCUCCACCCCUCCCAGACCCCACUUUGUGAGAUUACAGUGGUUUUUGUUGUUGUUGUUAUAGAGUUUAUUACCUACCCGAAAAAGAAAGAAGCAAAAAGACCCAUCCCUCUUGAUUAGUCUUCUGCUGUUCUUUGGUAGUGGGAUAUCUGUUUGGGAAUUCAAACUAGGAGCUCCAAUUUCCUUUGCUGCUUAUGUGGCAUUGUGGAUUUUUAUACUAGUUGAGAAGAGCCUAAACCUUGUCAGAAGGAAAUUAAAGAAAAGUACAUCUUAUGCUUUUCAAAUCCCUUUCUCUUGACAUGUUUUAGUCAUUUCAGCAUGUAGCAAGAUUUAUUUGGCAAAAUAGGGGGCUAACCUUGUGCAAUGAUAUACAAAGGUAAAGCCAAUCUAUACAGCACUAAAGUAUACUGAAUUCACCAAAACCAAUAGCUCUAGUAGUCUGUUAUGUGUGAUGGUUGGAAAAUCUUCUUUUGCUUAGUGCGUCUCCGAAUUUUUCCUCUUAUACUUUUGUCACGUGAGAUGGCUGAUGGUGUUUGAUGAUCUUAGGAUAAGUUGGUGAAUUGCUAAUGGAAGAACACUUAUUUUGUCACGUGAGAUGGCUGAUGAUGUUUGAUGAUCUU
rnacentral:lncRNA from 1 species